rnacentral:lncRNA from 1 species
UCAGUAAUUUUUGGUGUAGGAAUCGUGUUCUAUGUGAAAUUCUGAUUAAGAAACAUGUAUCAGGUUGCUUAAAUUCGUACCUUGUCUGGUGGUCCAUUGCUCAUAGUGUUGAUAAUAGAAUCUUGGAAAUUGAGAACCUGACUUCGUGAAUUGUAUGACUGCGCGUAUAAUUUUCCAGAAUUAUUUCUCGCAGCGUAUAUGCAGUGAAAAUGAGGUAUGCAAAGACGAAAGAGCCAGCGUACAUGUGCGAGGAUACUGACUGGGGAGCCGGUGCAAUUAAGGAGUAAGGCGUGGAAAGUUCUUUACCUGGGCGACUGGUUUUUUCUCUCUGUAGCCAGCCCUGUCAAUGUCGUUCCUCUCGGCGGUGGCGGUCGGCUGGAGCGGGCGCGCCGGCUUCUCGUACUGCGGGGCUUUCGAAGUCUGCUGUCGGACACCCGCGUUCGGACCCUGCGGCCGGAACUGCGCCUUCCUCUGCGGACCCUGCUGGGGCGGGGGGCGGAAGAGCGGCUGUCGCUGCGUCACCGUGACGGCCGGGAGAGUGGGGUCCUGCGCCUCAGGCUCGUCAUCCUCUUCGACAACGGGGCGCUGGGGGGCGAAGGGGCCGUCCGGGAGGGGGCGCCCUUGCGGCGGGAACGGCGAUGGCGCGAACGGGACGGGCGCCCCCGACUUCUGCUCCGACUCGGCGUCCAACGGUGAGAUCCGCCCGGCACGCGCCUGGAAGGGGCGUCGCAGGAACUUGGGCGCCCCGCGGCCGGUGCCUGAGACUGGGCUUGAGGGGCUUGGUCCUCUGGAGCCUGGAUCCGUCGUCCCUGGGGCCUGCACAGUAAGGAAAAGUAACCUGAUAUGCAGAGGCAGAAAUUUGGCAACACCGGAUUUCCUCCAUUUUAACCUACGCUAAAAAAUCGAUUCUUGUUGGAGCACCUGGCCUCUCCAAGAAUCAAUACAUUUCCAUAGGUUUAAAUGGAGAAAAGACAAUGUAGCCAAUUUGUUGGGUUCGACGAUGCUAAUAUGGGAGGUAGAACACAAGCUAAACAAGCGAUGCGAUUAAUAUGAUGAAUGGACUGCGUUUAGCAGAAGGGAACAAAGUCACAUCAGCUAUUGCCUAAUUUAACCGGGCAAUUUAACUUUGUACAAGAGCACGUUUUUGCGGAUUCCUUUGAUAAUUUCAAGGAAUUUGCUUCGUAUUAAGUGGAAAAUUCACUGUA